CCUGAUCCAGCAAUGCCGGGUGUGCGAAGAAGGCCUUCGGGUUGUAAAGCACUUUUGUCAGGGAAGAAAUCCUUUGGGCUAAUACCCUAGGGGGAUGACGGUACCUGAAGAAUAAGCACCGGCUAACUACGUGCCAGCAGCCGCGGUAAUACGUAGGGUGCAAGCGUUAAUCGGAAUUACUGGGCGUAAAGCGUGCGCAGGCGGUUGUGUAAGACAGGUGUGAAAUCCCCGGGCUUAACCUGGGAAUUGCAUUUGUGACUGCACGACUAGAGUGUGUCAGAGGGGGGUGGAAUUCCACGUGUAGCAGUGAAAUGCGUAGAUAUGUGGAGGAACACCAAUGGCGAAGGCAGCCCCCUGGGAUAACACUGACGCUCAUGCACGAAAGCGUGGGGAGCAAACAGGAUUAGAUACCCUGGUAGUCCACGCCCUAAACGAUGUCAACUAGUUGGUGGGAUUUUACUUCCUUGUUAACGUAGCUAACGCGUGAAGUUGAACGCCUGGGGAGUACGGCCG
rnacentral:rRNA from 1 species